rnacentral:rRNA from 1 species
GACGAACGCUGGCGGCGUGCUUAACACAUGCAAGUCGAACGGAAAGGCCCGGCGUUUGUUGGGUUCUCGAUUGGCGAACGGGUGAGUAACACGUGAGUAACCUGCCCUUGACGUUGUGAUAACUUCACGGAACUGGGGCGCAUAUCGGAGAGGAUCUCCUGCUGCGCGGUGUUGGUAGGUAAAUGUCGGCGUUUGUGUAUGUUCUCGCGGCUUAUCAGCUUGUUUGUGAGGUAGUUGCUUUCAAAGGCUUUGACGGGUAGCCGGCCUGAGAGGGUGACCGGCCACCUUGGGCCUGCGAUACGGAGCAGAAUGCUACGUGAGGCAGCAGUGGGGAACCUUGCAGAACGGGCGGAAGCCUGAUGCAGCAACGCCGCGUGCGGGAUGCCGGCCUUCGGGUUGUAAACCGAUUUCGCCUGUGACGAAGAGUGAGUGACGGUAAUGGGUCAAGAAGCCCCGGCUAACUACGUG